AACCGAAUAGGGGAGCCGAAGGGAAACCGAGUCUUAACUGGGCGUUAAGUUGCAGGGUAUAGACCCGAAACCCGGUGAUCUAGCCAUGGGCAGGUUGAAGGUUGGGUAACACUAACUGGAGGACCGAACCGACUAAUGUUGAAAAAUUAGCGGAUGACUUGUGGCUGGGGGUGAAAGGCCAAUCAAACCGGGAGAUAGCUGGUUCUCCCCGAAAGCUAUUUAGGUAGCGCCUCGUGAAUUCAUCUCCGGGGGUAGAGCACUGUUUCGGCAAGGGGGUCAUCCCGACUUACCAACCCGAUGCAAACUGCGAAUACCGGAGAAUGUUAUCACGGGAGACACACGGCGGGUGCUAACGUCCGUCGUGAAGAGGGAAACAACCCAGACCGCCAGCUAAGGUCCCAAAGUCAUGGUUAAGUGGGAAACGAUGUGGGAAGGCCCAGACAGCCAGGAUGUUGGCUUAGAAGCAGCCAUCAUUUAAAGA
rnacentral:rRNA from 1 species